GGGCUCAUGAGCUAACCCUAACCCUGGUUAGAGCACUGCACCGGCAUCGCAGAGGUCAUGGGUUCGAACCCCGUUGAGUCACCU
rnacentral:tRNA from 1 species